rnacentral:rRNA from 1 species
AGUUGGGAAUCUUGGACAAUGGGGGAAACCCUGAUCCAGCCAUGCCGCGUGAGUGAUGAAGGCCUUCGGGUUGUAAAACUCUUUCGACGGGGACGAUAAUGACGGUACCCGUAGAAGAAGCUCCGGCUAACUUCGUGCCAGCAGCCGCGGUAAUACGAAGGGGGCUAGCGUUGUUCGGAAUUACUGGGCGUAAAGCGCGCGCAGGCGGUUCUCCAAGUCAGUGGUGAAAGCCCGGAGCUCAACUCCGGAACUGCCAUUGAAACUGUUGAACUUGAGGACGAGAGAGGUGAGUGGAAUUCCCAGUGUAGAGGUGAAAUUCGUAGAUAUUGGGAAGAACACCAGUGGCGAAGGCGGCUCACUGGCUCGUUUCUGACGCUCAGGCGCGAUAGCGUGGGGAUCAAA